rnacentral:rRNA from 1 species
CAAAAACAUUGCCUUUAGCACAAAGUAUUAAAGGUAUCGCCUGCCCAGUGAAUAUUAAACGGCCGCGGGAUCCUCACCGUGCAAAGGUAGCAUAAUCACUUGUCCCCUAAAUAGUGACUAGUAUGAAUGGCUAAAUGAAGAUUUUACUGUCUCUUAUAGCUAAUCUAUGAAACUAAUCUAUCAGUACAAAAACUGGUAUAUUAACAUAAGACGAAAAGACCCUGUGGAACUUCAAGCACAACUCAACACCAUGACCCCUUGCUUUUAGUUGGGGCAACUUUGGAAAUAAACAAAACUUCCAAUCCCUAUAAAGAUAAACAUAUCAACAAACACACUUUGUACUAGACCCAGUAAUUAUACUGAUCAAAGAACCAAGCUACCCCAGGGAUAACAGCGCUAUCCCCUCCAAGAGCCCAAAUCGACGAGUGGGGUUUACGACCUCGAUGUUGGAUCAGGGCCCCCAAACAGUGCAACAGCUGUUAAUGGUUUGUUUGUUCAACAAUUAAAGCCCUACGUGAUCUGA